rnacentral:rRNA from 1 species
UGUGCCAGCAGCCGCGGUAAUACGGAGGAUGCAAGCGUUAUCCGGAUUUAUUGGGUUUAAAGGGUGCGUAGGCGGAUUGAUAAGUCAGCGGUGAAAUUCACAGGCUCAACCUGUGCCGUGCCGUUGAAACUGUCCAUCUGGAAUACGUAUGCUGUGGGAGGAAUGUGUAGUGUAGCGGUGAAAUGCAUAGAUAUUACACAGAACACCUAUUGCGAAGGCAUCUCACAAAGUCGUUAUUGACGCUGAGGCACGAAAGUGUGGGGAUCAAACAGGAUUAGAUACCCUGGUAGUCCACUACUGUAAACUAUGAUAACUCGCUGUCGGCGAUAUACUGUCGGUGGCCUAGCGAAAGCGAUAAGUUAUCCACCUGGGGAGUACGACCGCAAGGUUGAAACUCAAAGGAAUUGACGGGGGCCCGCACAAGCGGAGGAACAUGUGGUUUAAUUCGAUGAUACGCGAGGAACCUUACCCGGGCUCGAACGUCAGAUGUCUUAUGAGGAAACUCAUACUCUCUUCGGAGCAUCUGUCGAGGUGCUGCAUGGUUGUCGUCAGCUCGUGCCGUGAGGUGUCGGCUUAAGUGCCAUAACGAGCGCAACCCUUGUCGAUAGUUGCCAUCGGGUUAUGCCGGGGACUUUAUCGAGACUGCCUUCGUAAGAUGUGAGGAAGGAGGGGAUGACGUCAAAUCAGCACGGCCCUUAUGUCCGGGGCGACACACGUGUUACAAUGGUGGUUACAGAGGGUAGCUCCCUGGCGACAGGCUGCCAAUCUCCAAAAGCCAUCUCAGUUCGGAUCGGAGUCUGCAACUCGACUCCGUGAAGUUGGAUUCGCUAGUAAUCGCGCAUCAGCCACGGCGCGGUGAAUACGUUCCCGGGCCUUGUACACACCGCCCGUCAAGCCAUGGAAGUUGGGGGUGCCUGAAGUCCGUCACCGCGAGGAGCGGCCUAGGGCAAACCUGAUAACUGGGGCUAAGUCGUAACAAGGUAACCA